UAAAAGUUAUCUUAAAUUAAGAAUGUUAUUUACUAUAACACUAUUCUGUUAAAACCAGAACUUUUAG
rnacentral:tRNA from 1 species